CACUUAAGUAGGCAAUCAAUGAUUUCUACCUUUUGGACGAGUACUGGUACAACAGUUCCACCGUGCUGUUUCCAAGACUGGUCGGUAUACCUAGCUUAUGCAUUGUGCUUUUGGGUAACUUGAUCAAAAUGAGCCGGUUCGUCGUUAUAUAUUUUGGUAUUCUCUGCCUGUUAGGUGACUGUGUGUUAUCAGCCCCACCUUUGACAGCUAACGAUGUCUGCGAUGAUCCAAGAGACGAUAGUAGCUGCCAAAAAGUACCAGUGGUACAAUAUUACUUUAACAAGGAGAAAGAUAUUUGCCAGAGUUUUACCUAUCAAGGAUGCAGCUCUAGUCGUAACCAUUUUAAUACAAUGGAAGAAUGCCAACAAACAUGUAUGAUCGCUACGUUUCUUACGUGGUGAAUUCCAAUAUUAGACCAUACUAUUACAUCAAUCUAUUUGACAAGGAGUAAUAAACAAGAUGUUCUGGUACAAAGGGCAAGACCAUCAAAAAUUGAAUGACAAAGGCUUGGAAGCAAUAAAAUAAUGAAUAUAACACCUA